rnacentral:rRNA from 1 species
UGUCGUCAGCUCGUGUCGUGAGAUGUUGGGUUAAGUCCCGCAACGAGCGCAACCCUUAUCUUUAGUUGCCAGCAUGUUUGGGUGGGCACUCUAAAGAGACUGCCGGUGACAAGCCGGAGGAAGGUGGGGAUGACGUCAAGUCCUCAUGGCCCUUAUGUCCUGGGCUACACACGUGCUACAAUGGCGGUGACAGUGGGAAGCUAGAUGGUGACAUCAUGCCGAUCUCUAAAAACCGUCUCAGUUCGGAUUGCACUCUGCAACUCGAGUGCAUGAAGGUGGAAUCGCUAGUAAUCGCGGAUCAGCAUGCCGCGGUGAAUACGUUCCCGGGUCUUGUACACAC